rnacentral:rRNA from 1 species
AACAACGCUGGCGGCGUGCCUAACACAUGCAAGUCGAACGCGAAAAUCGGCUUCGGCCGAUGAGUAAAGUGGCGCACGGGUGAGUAACGCGUGGAUAAUCUACCCUUCAGUUGGGAAUAACUUAUCGAAAGGUGAGCUAAUACCGAAUAAAACUGCCUGACCACGGUCGGGUAGUCAAAGAUAGCCUCUGCUUGCAAGCUUUCGCUGAAUGAUGAGUCCGCGUACCAUUAGCUAGUUGGUGGGGUAAUGGCCCACCAAGGCGACGAUGGUUAGCUGGUCUGAGAGGAUGAUCAGCCACACUGGAACUGAGACACGGUCCAGACUCCUACGGGAGGCAGCAGUGAGGAAUCUUGCGCAAUGGGGGAAACCCUGACGCAGCAACGCCGCGUGAGUGAGGAAGGUCUUCGGAUCGUAAAGCUCUGUCGGGUGGAAAGAAAUGUAUGGGGUUAAUAGCCUUCAUACUUGACGGUACCACCAAAGGAAGCACCGGCUAACUCCGUG